rnacentral:rRNA from 1 species
UACGAAGGGGGCUAGCGUUGCUCGGAAUCACUGGGCGUAAAGCGCACGUAGGCGGGUCCUUAAGUCGGGGGUGAAAUCCCGGAGCUCCACUCCGGAACUGCCUUCGAUACUGGGGACCUCGAGUCCGGGAGAGGUGAGUGGAACUGCGAGUGUAGAGGUGAAAUUCGUAGAUAUUCGCAAGAACACCAGUGGCGAAGGCGGCUCACUGGCCCGGUACUGACGCUGAGGUGCGAAAGCGUGGGGAGCAAACAGG